UACGGGGGGAGCAAGUGUUGUCGGAUUUACUGGGCGUAAAGGGCGCGUAGGCGGUCGUGACAAGUCACUUGUGAAAUCUCCGGGCUUAACUCGGAACGGUCAAGUGAUACUGUCGGACUAGAGUACAGAAGGGGCAACUGGAAUUCUCGGUGUAGCGGUGAAAUGCGUAGAUAUCGAGAGGAACACCUGCGGCGAAGGCGGGUUGCUGGGCCGACACUGACGCUGAUGCGCGAAAGCCAGGGGAGCGAACGGG
rnacentral:rRNA from 1 species